rnacentral:rRNA from 1 species
CCUACGGGUGGCAGCAGUGGGGGAUAUUGCACAAUGGAGGAAACUCUGAUGCAGCGACGCCGCGUGAGGGAAGACGGUCUUCGGAUUGUAAACCUCUGUCUUUGGGGAAGAAAAUGACGGUACCCAAAGAGGAAGCUCCGGCUAACUACGUGCCAGCAGCCGCGGUAAUACGUAGGGAGCGAGCGUUGUCCGGAAUUACUGGGUGUAAAGGGAGCGUAGGCGGGCGAGAAAGUUGAAUGUUAAAUCUACCGGCUUAACUGGUAGCUGCGUUCAAAACUUCUUGUCUUGAGUGAAGUAGAGGCAGGCGGAAUUCCUGGUGUAGCGGUGAAAUGCGUAGAUAUAGGGAAGAACACCAGUGGCGAAAGCGGCUCUCUGGUCUGUAACUGACGCUGAGGUUCGAAAGCGUGGGUAGCAAACAGGAUUAGAUACCCCUGUAGUC